CAGCAGCCGCGGUAAAACGAAGGGGGCUAGCGUUGUUCGGAUUUACUGGGCGUAAAGGGUGCGUAGGCGGAUUGUUAAGUCAGGGGUGAAAUCCCGAGGCUCAACCUCGGAACUGCCUUUGAUACUGGCGAUCUUGAGUCCGGGAGAGGUGAGUGGAACUGCGAGUGUAGAGGUGAAAUUCGUAGAUAUUCGCAAGAACACCGGUGGCGAAGGCGGCUCACUGGCCCGGUACUGACGCUGAGGCACGAAAGCGUGGGGAGCAAACAGGAUUAGAGACCCCCGUAGUCCCUGUCUCUUAUAC
rnacentral:rRNA from 1 species